GGGUGGGCAAGUCUGGUGUCAGCCGCCGCGGUAAUACCAGCACCCCGAGUUGUCGGGACGAUUAUUGGGCCUAAAGCAUCCGUAGCCUGUUCUGCAAGUCCUCCGUUAAAUCCACCCGCUUAACGGAUGGGCUGCGGGGGAUACUGCAGAGCUAGGAGGCGGGAGAGGCAAGCGGUACUCAGUGGGUAGGGGUAAAAUCCAUUGAUCUACUGAAGACCACCAGUGGCGAAAGCGGGUUGCCAAAACGCGCUCGACGGUGAGGGAUGAAAGCUGGGGGAGCAAACCGGAUUAGAUACCCCGGGUAGUCCCAGCUGUAAACGAUGCAGACUCGGUGAUGGGUUGGCCUCGAGCCAACCCAGUGCCGCAGGGAAGCCGUUAAGUCUGCCGCCUGGGGCAGUACGUUCGCAAGACUGAAACUUAAAGGAAUUGGCGGGGGAGCACCACAAGGGGUGAAGCCUGCGGUUCAAUUGGAGUCAACGCCGGGAAUCUUACCGGGGGCGACAGCAGAGUGAAGGUCAAGCUGAAGACUUUACCAGACAAGCUGAGAGGAGGUGCAUGGCCGUCGCCAGCUCGUNCCGUGAGGUGUCCUGUUAAGUCAGGUAACGAGCAAGAUCCCUGCCUCUAGUUGCUACCACUGCUCUCAGGAGCAGAGGGGCUAAUUAGAGGGACCGCCGCCGCUGAGUCGGAGGAAGGAGGGGGCUACGGCAGGUCAGUACGCCCCGAAACCCUCGGGCCACACGCGGGCUGCAAUGGUAAGGACAGCGGGCUCCGAUCCCGAAAGGGGGAGGAAUCCCUC
rnacentral:rRNA from 1 species